rnacentral:rRNA from 1 species
GAUUAACGCUGGCGGCGUGCAUAACACAUGCAAGUCGAACGAUUAAACUUUAAUGAACCCUUCGGGGAGAAUUAAAGCGGAUUAUUGGCGAACGGGUGAGUAACGCGUGAGUAACCUGCCUUACACAAGGGGAUAGCCUUUGGAAACGAAGAAUAAUACCCUAUAAAACCAUAAAAGCACAUGCAAUUAUGGUCAAAGUGAUAGCGGUGUAAGAUGGACUUGCGUCUGAUUAGCUAGUUGGUGAGAUAAAAGCCCACCAAGGCAACGAUCAGGAGCCGGAUUGAGAGAGUGAACGGCCAAAUUGGGACUGAGACACGGCCCAGACUCCUACGGGAGGCAGCAGUGGGGAAUUUUGCACACUGGGGGAAACCCUGAUGCCGCGACGCCGCGUGAUUUAGAAGGCCUUCGAGUUGUAAAAAUCUUUUGUAUAGGAAGAAUAUGACAGUACUAUACGAAUAAGGUCCGGCUAAUUACGUG